CACUGCAGCAGGGUUGGUCUGCGUGACAACAGAAUAUGGCAGAAGUAACAGUAUGUCGCUUCCGAGAUGAGGUUAUAAAAGACACUGCAGCUGCAGUCUUGGGUUUUCUAUCUCUAAUUCUCUCUUUCUCUGAUCACUCUGGAGGAAAGCAGAUGCCAUGUGGUAAACAGUCCUACAGAGAGGAGCACAUAGUGAGGAGCUGACGCCUUCUGACAACAGCCAUGUGAGCGAGCUUAGAGCAGCUCCGAAGCCAGAUGAGAAGACGAAGGCAAAGAGAGUGGAUACGAUAGAAACACUAGGGAGUGCCAGGAUUCGAGUCCAGGCAGCCAGCCCCAGAAUCCCCGGGCUAACCAUGAUACUACAACACAGCGUGAAGAUGAGAGGAGGCCGUGGGAACUCAGAAAAUGGAUUUAUUGCGGCAUGUGCAGUAUGUGUUAUAGAGUGAGCUGGGGAAAUUUGCAGCAGCGGAAACUGGGCACUUUGCCUAGGAACUGCAAACAAGUCACGGUGCAGCUGGGAACCGGCUGACAUCUCUAGAAUCAGGAUUACUUGUUCCAAACCGCCUUUCCAGGCACAGGAUGAAGUGAUGUGACGUGAUUUCGCCUCAGACAAUGGGCUGUUUUUCCUUCGCCAAGGCCUAGGGUGUGAGCAGUAGUCUCCUCAGAGGAAGGAUCAAACUGUGGGCUGUGUUCGAUUUUGCGUCUCCUCGGCCUCUCGGCACACCUGGGCCUGGGAAGCGUGGGAGACACAGGCACAACUCCUCAACAUCUCCUGAAGGCCUCAGGCUGGUGGAACUGUUGCUGGGUGUGCAGGCCAAGCAUUGCUGAAGAUUUUGCCUGGGUUGGCUAAAGGAAAUUUUCUCGAGUUCUCAAGCAUCCAAAAUGUUAACUUCUUAUCCUAACAAGCAUUCUCCACUUAUCUGAUAUAGGUUUAUGAGACUGAUUUCAGGUAAUUACAUCAGUGAGAAUAUAGAGAAGGUUUUGGUUAGAGGGCUAUGAAAAAAAGAUUUAACCAACAAAAAUAUUUUUUCUAACACUGAAGUUGAUAUUUUUUGUUUUUACAAAAUGAUCAAAAUAAAAUUUCUUAUAGAAAUCUGUGCUAACAUAAAAAAUAACUUGGUUAAAUAAAACUGGAUUCAUCUCAUCUAAAUAUGUACCUACAGAGUUCCUUUGUAGGUGGGAAUGCUUGAGACUUUUGACCCUCAGUUUCACAGGAUGUUUUCUCUAGACUUAUUAAUUUAUAAUACGAUUAAAAAGACCCACUAUUAUUUCUUAUAACUAGAUAACAGAGAAAAAUGUUUUUUUAAAAAAAAAAUAAAUAAAAAGACCUUGAAUGCA